GAUUGUAAGCAGAUGGUGUUCAGCACCAGGGACAGACCUGUUGGUGUGAAGAUGGUGUUCAGCACCAAGGACAGGUAUGUGUGCAU
rnacentral:pre_miRNA from 1 species